rnacentral:rRNA from 1 species
UGGACGAAGUCUGACGGAGCACGCCGCGUGAGUGAAGAAGGUUUUCGGAUCGUAAAACUCUGUUGUUAGGGAAGAACAAGUGCCGUUCGAAUAGGGCGGCACCUUGACGGUACCUAACCAGAAAGCCACGGCUAACUACGUGCCAGCAGCCGCGGUAAUACGUAGGUGGCAAGCGUUGUCCGGAAUUAUUGGGCGUAAAGCGCGCGCAGGUGGUUUCUUAAGUCUGAUGUGAAAGCCCACGGCUCAACCGUGGAGGGUCAUUGGAAACUGGGGAACUUGAGUGCAGAAGAGGAAAGUGGAAUUCCAAGUGUAGCGGUGAAAUGCGUAGAUAUUUGGAGGAACACCAGUGGCGAAGGCGACUUUCUGGUCUGUAACUGACACUGAGGCGCGAAAGCGUGGGGAGCAAACAGGAUUAAAUACCCUGGUAGUCCACGCCGUAAACGAUGAGUGCUAAGUGUUAGAGGGUUUCCGCCCUUUAGUGCUGCAGCUAACGCAUUAAGCACUCCGCCUGGGGAGUACGGUCGCAAGACUGAAACUCAAAGGAAUUGACGGGGGCCCGCACAAGCGGUGGAGCAUGUGGUUUAAUUCGAAGCAACGCGAAGAACCUUACCAGGUCUUGACAUCCUCUGACAACCCUAGAGAUAGGGCUUUCCCCUUCGGGGGACAGAGUGACAGGUGGUGCAUGGUUGUCGUCAGCUCGUGUCGUGAGAUGUUGGGUUAAGUCCCGCAACGAGCGCAACCCUUGAUCUUAGUUGCCAGCAUUCAGUUGGGCACUCUAAGAUGACUGCCGGUGACAAACCGGAGGAAGGUGGGGAUGACGUCAAA